UCUGUACAAUGUUUCAGUUGUGUAAACACUAUCAAUCAGUUAAUGUUCCAUGACUGUAUUUUCAGAUUUCUGCAAUACGCUACAUAUGUGAAACUUCCUCCUUAUCCAUUCUGAUUCUCCGCUCCAAGAAACUGUUUUUAUGAAGAGGCACACAACCAAUAAAAAGGUUUGUGUAUGAAAACCCAAUUUCUACGAUCCACUACUCCAAAAAGAUUUCUACAAUAUGCUACACUUAAAACUUCUCCAUUAUAUGAUUCUCUGCUCCAUGAACUGUAUUUUAUGAAGCUGCACAAAACCGAUAAAAAGUUUUGUGCAGAACAAGUCCGUAACUACUGCCCACUACUCCCAAAAGAUUUCUGCAAUGCGCUACAUAUGUGAAACUUCCUCCUUAUUCAUUCUGAUUCUCCACUCCAUGAACUGUUUUUAUGAAGAGGCACACAACCAAUAAAAAGGUUUGUGCAACACGUUACACUUCAAACGUCCGUCUUAUCCAUUAUGAUUCUCUGCUUCCUGAACUAUUUUUAUGAAGAGGCACACAACCAAUAAAAAGGUUUGUGCAUGAAAACCCAAUAUCCAUUGUCCACUGUUCCCAAAAGAUUUCUGCAAUACGCUACAUAUGUGAAACUUCCUCCUUAUCCAUUCUGAUUCUCCGCUCCAAGAAACUGUUUUUAUGAAGAGGCACACAACCAAUAAAAAGGUUUGUGCAUGAAAACCCAAUUUCUACGAUCCACUACUCCAAAAAGAUUUCUACAAUAUUCAAACUUCUCCAUUAUAUGAUUCUCUGCUCCAUGAACUGUAUUUUAUGAAACUGCACAAAACCGAUAAAAAGUUUUGUGCAGAACAAGUCAAUAACUACUGUCCACUACUCCCAAAAGAUUUCUGCAAUGCACUACAUAUGUGAAACUUCCUCCUUAUCCAUUCUGAUUUUCCGCUCCAAGAAACUGUUUUUAUGAAGAGGCACACAACCAAUGAAAAGGUUUGUGCAUGAAAACCCAAUAUCUACAAUCCACUACUCCAAAAAGUGAAUACAAAAUCAUUGUUCAAGUAUCUUCAGAAAAUGUCCCGGCAAAACUCUAAACUGAUGCAGGCAGUCAAUAGUCAAAGAUAUCACAAAUGCAUAACCACAAAAGUAACAAUUCAAUAUGAAAGUUGGAUGGAUGG